rnacentral:rRNA from 1 species
AACGAACGUUGGCGGCGUGGAUUAGGCAUGCAAGUCGAGCGAAUCCCCGCAAGGGGGGAAGCGGCGAAAGGGGCAGUAAGGCAUGGGUAACCUACCCUGGGGACUGGGAUAGCCCUUCGAGAGAAGGGGUAAUACCGGGCGACGUGUCGGGCCGGCAUCGGUCUGCCACCAAAUGAAUUUCGCCCUGGGAGGGGCCCAUGUGAUAUUAGCUAGUUGGUGAGGUAACGGCUCACCAAGGCGAAGAUGUCUAGCGGGUGUGAGAGCACGACCCGCGCCACUGGCACUGAGACACUGGCCAGACACCUACGGGUGGCUGCAGUCGAGGAUCUUCGGCAAUGGGCGCAAGCCUGACCGAGCGACGCCGCGUGUGCGAUGAAGGCCUUCGGGUUGUAAAGCACUGUCGAGAGGGAGAAAAGCGAAAGCUUGAUCUAUCUCUGGAGGAAGCACGGGCUAAGUUCGUGCCAGCCGCCGCGGUAAGAC